CAGUAGCCGCGGUAAUACGAAGGGUGCAAGCGUUAAUCGGAAUUACUGGGCGUAAAGCGUGCGUAGGCGGUGAGUUAAGUCUGCUGUGAAAUCCCCGGGCUCAACCUGGGAAUGGCAGUGGAUACUGGCUCGCUAGAGUGUGUCAGAGGAUGGUGGAAUUCCCGGUGUAGCGGUGAAAUGCAUAGAGAUCGGGAGGAACAUCAGUGGCGAAGGCGGCCAUCUGGGACAACACUGACGCUGAGGCACGAAAGCGUGGGGAGCAAACAGGAUUAGAUACCCCUGUAGUCCCUGUCUCUUAUAA
rnacentral:rRNA from 1 species